GAUGAACGCUGGCGGCGUGCCUAAUACAUGCAAGUCGAGCGAACAGAUGAGGAGCUUGCUCCUCUGACGUUAGCGGCGGACGGGUGAGUAACACGUGGAUAACCUACCUAUAAGACUGGGAUAACUUCGGGAAACCGGAGCUAAUACCGGAUAAUAUAUUGAACCGCAUGGUUCAAUAGUGAAAGACGGUUUUGCUGUCACUUAUAGAUGGCUCCGCGCUGCAUUAGCUAGUUGGUAAGGUAACGGCUUACCAAGGCGACGAUGCGUAGCCGACCUGAGAGGGUGAUCGGCCACACUGGAACUGAGACACGGUCCAGACUCCUACGGGAGGCAGCAGUAGGGAAUCUUCCGCAAUGGGCGAAAGCCUGACGGAGCAACGCCGCGUGAGUGAUGAAGGUCUUCGGAUCGUAAAACUCUGUUAUUAGGGAAGAACAAAUGUGUAAGUAACUAUGCACGUCUUGACGGUACCUAAUCAGAAAGCCACGGCUAACUACGUG
rnacentral:rRNA from 1 species